AUUGAACGCUAGCGGGAUGCCUUACACAUGCAAGUCGAACGGAAUGGCGAACGGGUGAGUAAUGUAUCGGAACGUGCCCAGUAGCGGGGGAUAACUACGCGAAGGAGUAGCUAAUAACUCAUACUUUUCGAGCGGCCUAUAUCGGAUUAGCUAGUUGGUGGGGUAACGGCUCACCAAGGCGACGAUCCGUAGCUGGUUUGAGUGGACGACCAGCCACACUGGUACUGAGACACGGCCCAGACUCCGAAGGGAGGCAGCAGUGGGGAAUGUUGGACAAUGGGGGAAAGCCUGAUCCAGCCAUCCCGCGUGUGUGAUGAAGGCCUUCGGGUUGUAAAGCACUUUUGGCAGGAAAGCGGUACCUGCAGAAUAAGCACCGGCUAACUACGUGCCAGCAGCCGCGGUAAUAC
rnacentral:rRNA from 1 species